GGCCGCGCUGCAGGACCAAGUUGUAGGGACCCUCGCCUCAGCACGGGGUUUAAACCCGAGUGAAAUAGUGAAAUGUCGGAAUAUCGAUCCCCUGAAAAGUUGAGAAGUUCCAGUGGGAAAUCUUUGAAGAGAGACAGUCCGACACUUAAUUUCAGAUGUUGCCAGAACUGUCGAUUUGCUCCAACAUUUUAUGUUUCUAUAGC